AUGUAUGAACACUCGCUGUCGAGAUGGACGACGGUGCGAGAUCAGGACCACGAUAUUCUGGUCGGACGGUACUUGGACGAGGACAAGCGGAUUCACGCAGGUACACAUUUAAUCAUUGAUGAUUUCGAGAUCCUUGUUUUGGAUUGCAUGCAGGUUCCAUUAGACGAGGCGGAUCAAGUAGAGGUCGUGGAUCUAUCUUCAGAACCUGGAAGCCCAAUACUGAAGCCGAAGAUCGGAGGAAGGUUUUGGGUCUUGGCCGACGAUGAAGAUGAAGAAGAUGACGCUGAAGUCCGAAGAUCACCUGGUGCCACGGGGUCGACGUCGCCCGGGCGUUUUUCGAAGUGUACGACUCCAGUUGCUGAUUCCUUCAUGCGGAUCAUACCUGGCGAGGGUCACAAGGACAGGAAGAUCGCCGAUCCACGACAGGCGGCUCUAUACAAACCCACGGCGGUGGGGAUCAAGCCUUGGAAGGGCCCCCUUCCUAAGGUUAUUUUCAGAGCCACGGCGUUGAUCCGUUCGUGGUCGCUACUCACUUCGACGGAGGCCAGGGAGCGUUUGGUUACUGGAUCUAUCCGCUGGGAGAUGGUAGCUCGGGAUAUCUUCAACCGGUUUGGAUGGCGAUCAUGUAAUAGGAUAGGCAAUUAG
rnacentral:rRNA from 1 species